rnacentral:tRNA from 1 species
UAAAUUAAUUUCGUAGUGGAAUAUUAACUUUGGGAGUUAAGGGAUAAAAUUUUAUAAUUUUAUUUUGUGA